UACUGCAACUGCUCGUAGAUGUGAC
rnacentral:sRNA from 1 species